rnacentral:tRNA from 1 species
GCCCCCGUAGCUCAACGGAUAGAGUACGAGCUUGCGGAGCUUGGAAUGUCAGUUCAAUUCUGACCGGGGGCA